rnacentral:rRNA from 1 species
AAUGAACGCUGGCGGCGUGCCUAAUACAUGCAAGUCGUGCGGCAGCAUGCCCUUCGGGGUGAUGGCGAGCGGCGGACGGCUGAGUAACGCGUAGGAAUCUACCCCAAAGUGAGGGAUAACCUCGAGAAAUCGAGGCUAAUACCGCAUGUGAUCUUCGGAUUAAAGGAUUUAUCCGCUUUGGGAAGAGCCUGCGUAAGAUUAGCUUGUUGGUGAGGUAAUGGCUCACCAAGGCGACGAUCUUUAGCUGGUCUGAGAGGAUGACCAGCCAGACUGGGACUGAGACACGGUCCAGACUCCUACGGGAGGCAGCAGUAAGGAAUCUUCCACAAUGGGCGAAAGCCUGAUGGAGCAACGCCGCGUGCAGGAUGAAGGCCUUCGGGUUGUAAACUGCUUUUGUCAGGGAAGAAAUCUUCUGGGCUAAUACCCCGGGAGGAUGACGGUACCUGAAGAAUAAGCACCGGCUAAC